ACGGAAGGCAGCAGUGGGGAAUAUUGGGCAAUGGGCGAAAGCCUGACCCAGCAACGCCGCGUGAAGGAAGAAGGUUUUCGGAUUGUAAACUUCUGUCCUCAAUGACGAAGACAAUGACGGUAAUUGAGGAGGAAGCCCCGGCUAACUACGUGCCAGCAGCCGCGGUAAUACGUAGGGGGCAAGCGUUGUCCGGAAUGACUGGGCGUAAAGGGCGUGUAGGCGGUUUUUUAAGUAUGAAGUGAAAUCCCAGCGUUCAAGGUUGGGUCUGCUUUGUAGACUGGAAGACUUGAGUGCGGAAGAGGUAAGUGGAAUUCCCAGUGUAGCGGUGAAAUGCGUAGAGAUUGGGAGGAACACCAGUGGCGAAGGCGACUUACUGGGCCGUAACUGACGCUGAGGCGCGAAAGCGUGGGGAGCGAACAGGAUUAGAUACCCUGGUA
rnacentral:rRNA from 1 species